rnacentral:rRNA from 1 species
AGGCUCAGGAUGAACGCUGGCGGCGUGCCUAAUACAUGCAAGUCGAGCGAACAGAUAAGGAGCUUGCUCCUUUGACGUUAGCGGCGGACGGGUGAGUAACACGUGGGUAACCUACCUAUAAGACUGGAAUAACUCCGGGAAACCGGGGCUAAUGCCGGAUAACAUUUAGAACCGCAUGGUUCUAAAGUGAAAGAUGGUUUUGCUAUCACUUAUAGAUGGACCCGCGCCGUAUUAGCUAGUUGGUAAGGUAAUGGCUUACCAAGGCAACGAUACGUAGCCGACCUGAGAGGGUGAUCGGCCACACUGGAACUGAGACACGGUCCAGACUCCUACGGGAGGCAGCAGUAGGGAAUCUUCCGCAAUGGGCGAAAGCCUGACGGAGCAACGCCGCGUGAGUGAUGAAGGGUUUCGGCUCGUAAAACUCUGUUAUUAGGGAAGAACAAACGUGUAAGUAACUGUGCACGUCUGACGGUACCUAAUCAGAGA